rnacentral:rRNA from 1 species
UACGUAGGGGGCAAGCGUUGUCCGGAAUCAUUGGGCGUAAAGCGCGUGUAGGCGGCUUCGUAAGUCCGUUGUGAAAGUCCAGGGCUCAACCCUGGAAUGCCGAUGGAUACUGCGGAGCUAGAGUCCGGAAGAGGCGAGUGGAAUUCCUGGUGUAGCGGUGAAAUGCGCAGAUAUCAGGAGGAACACCAAUGGCGAAGGCAGCUCGCUGGGACGGUACUGACGCUGAGACGCGAAGCGUGGGGAGCAAACAGG